AUACGGAGGAUCCGAGCGUUAUCCGGAUUUAUUGGGUUUAAAGGGUGCGCAGGCGGGAGAUUAAGUCGGCGGUGAAAUUUUGCAGCUCAACUGUAAAAGUGCCUUCGAAACUGGUUUCCUUGAGUGUAGAUGAAGUAGGCGGAAUUUGUGGUGUAGCGGUGAAAUGCAUAGAUAUCACGAGGAACUCCGAUUGCGCAGGCAGCUUACUAAACUACUACUGACGCUCAGGCACGAAGGCGUGGGGAUCAAACAGGAUUAGAUACCCUGGUAGUCCACGCAGUAAACGAUGAUUACUCGCUGUUUGCGAUAUACAGUAAGCGGCUUAGCGAAAGCGUUAAGUAAUCCACCUGGGGAGUACGUUCGCAAGAAUGAA
rnacentral:rRNA from 1 species